rnacentral:rRNA from 1 species
UACGUAGGCGGUUAUGUAAGUGUGGAUUUAAAGACCAGAGCUCAACUCUGUGUAUGGUCUGCAAACUGCAUAACUAGAGUUUAGGAUGGGAAGCUGGAAUUCCACGUGUAGGGGUGAAAUCUGUAGAGAUGUGGAAGAAUACCGGUGGCGAAGGCGAGCUUCUAGCCUGAAACUGACGCUAAGGUACGAAAGCGUGGGGAGCGAACAGGAUUAGAUACCCUGGUAGUC